rnacentral:rRNA from 1 species
UACAGAGGGUGCGAGCGUUAAUCGGAGUUACUGGGCGUAAAGGGCGCGUAGGCGGUUAUUUAAGUUAGAUGUGAAAUCCCUGGGCUUAACCUAGGAACUGCAUCUGAUACUGGAUAGCUAGAGUAUUGUAGAGGGUAGUGGAAUUUCCGGUGUAGCGGUGAAAUGCGUAGAGAUCGGAAGGAACACCAGUGGCGAAGGCGGCUACCUGGACAAAUACUGACGCUGAGGCGCGAAAGCGUGGGGAGCAAACAGG